GCGACACCAGGACGGGCGAGGCCACCCGCCGAGUUUAAG
rnacentral:rRNA from 1 species